UUUUCUAUCUAGUUCAAAAAGAAAGUCACACCAGUGCCCCUGUUAAAUCCUCAUUUAAUUAAGAGUACCUCCUGAACACAUCGCAGUUCUUCAGGGAUCAAGCGAAUGGCUCUCCUUUUAUACAUGAUUCUUCUGAAUCUGAGACUUCAGACAAGUCCAAAGCAACAGAUAUAGGUGGGGCCUGAGAUUCCUGAUCUCCUAAGAAGCACAGAAGGAUUCUUAGAGCAGCAAUUUUGGGAAACACUGGUUAAGAAGCUGAGAUUUAGAGUCAUCAAAUCAAGUGUCCAAAGUCCAGAAAUUAUCAAGUGGCAAAGCAGAUCUAUAUCCAGGCAAGCUCACUCCAGAGCUCUCUCUUAAGCACAGAAGUAAGAUUAGCAUCCAUUUAAGAAACUCAAGGAGUCCUGCUGGCACCUGGGAUGGGGUUGCAAGCAAACCCACUGACUUGACAGUUGUGUGACUGAGCCGUUAGGUCUGCAGAGGGAAGAUGUACUACUUUGGGUUUGGCCAUUCUUGCCUGCAGUGUGAGCUGGAGGCAACACUCCUCUCAGGGAGUCUGUGUUUAAUGUCUAAAUAAAUAAUCCAAAUGUAAAUUGCAAUCCUGCGGUGCCCUCCUCCCUUUUCCGUUUCGGGAUAUAAAAAGCAUCCACAAACAUAUGCUCCUGCCGGAUUUUUCUUUGUGGUGCCCUCUCUACGAAGACACUUAGAAAAAACAACAACCCACGGUCUCCUUUGGAGCCUGCCUCUCUGGUUUGUCAUUUGCAAAGACAGAAAUAUUCCAUGCGUGGUUGAAGGUGGUACCAGGAGGUGGGGGGAGAUUUUUCUUUGGCUGCCCAGUUUAUAUAUUAAUGAGGGCCUGGGGUUGAAAGAAGAGCUCAGAGCUUUGCACAUCAGAGCUGUCCACUUCCACUCAGUAGUGAAUUACACGAACUGCUCCCACAGGGGUGGAGAGUGACAGGUUGUUUUUAACUAGUGUCCUAAGGAUGGACCAUUGUGUUUCCUCCCACACCAUCUCCUGCCUCUGGGGUUAUUGCCAUUAUAAUUAAUACUGAUUAUAAUGCUGUGGAAUUUUAAGUGCCAAUUUCAGUUGUGGCUUAAGUAAAAAGUAAACAAUAAAAGCAACAUGUUAAAGCUAUCAGAAGAUUUUUAAUUUGGUAAAGGAGCAAACUUUCUCUUUACUGAGGUUCCAGAUCUGUGUGGAAAUUGCUACUAUAGCAAGAAACAAGCAAACAGAUAAAUAAAAAUAUAGCAUGUUCCUUUUUCUUCUUGGAAUUAGAGAGUAGCAUUGUCAAUUAUGGUCGAGGUACCAGAACACACAAUGAAUCCUUCUGGGAUUUUUUUGAAUUUAAUAUAAAAAGUUAUGCAAACAGCAAUAUUAUGAUCUGAAUACAAAAGACUGUGUCAGCUGGAAGUUCAGCACAGGAUUUCUGAUUGUAUGAAUGACAUAUCUGUGUAUGCUGUCUCCCAGCUAGUCUUUGAAUAUUAACUCUUGAAGCCGAGUAAGUGCUUCCCAGAUAACUAAAUGACCUUUGCUUAUUUGAAAUGGAAAUGAACUGAACUGAACUGAAAUAAAUAUUAAGUCUAACUGGUAGCCAGUAAAUAAUUACAUUCCAAUGUUUUCCACAAAUUUAUACUUUCACAACUUUUUCUAAGAUGGACUUAAUCUUAAAAAAAAGUGUAUUAAUGAUGGUUCUCUUCUUGAAGAUGCCUGUAUCUUACAGAAAAAAAUGGUUUCUUUCCCUAUUUCUGUACUGAUCAGUAGAGCACUUGAUGAAAAAAAUAAAGAAAAAAUUGUGUGCCAGGAUUUAUGGGGGAUAACAUUUAAAAUUCACUCAGAUACCCAAUGCUGUUUUUUUUUUUUUUCAUCUUUCCUGUUUUUAGGUAAGUGUAGGGGCAGGAUGGGCACAGAGCAGGUUUUCUUUGUGAUUCGAGCAGACUGGUAAAGGUGGCGUGCUGGAGCCUUUCUCAGGCUUUUAUUGAGCUUUUACAUGCAGUGCAGCAACCAGGUACAAGGCAGGCAGGGAUGGCAGGGGGCCAGGAGGCCA